UUUGGAGGGUGACAGCUCUGGCAAUUACCCAGCUGCUACCUUGUAACAUUUUUAUUUGAAAAUAAAAUAAAGAGGCAGUCUAGAGGAUCUACUGAUGAUGUGAAUACCUUUCAGUUACUGCUAAAAUUAUACAGGUGCAGCUCUUCAAAGCAAUCAACACAGAGGAAGAAAACAACCUGAAGUAUAUGAGAAUCUGAAAAUAACACUGGUAAAAUAAUAAUGAAAGAAGAUAUAAGAGAAAAAUAUGCCAUUAGAACAAAUAAUCACCGAAUUGGCUGAGUGGGGAGGGACCCUCAAGGAUCGUGUCCAACUCCUCCAGGAGCACAGGACCAUCCCCAAGUAUUAUUCCACGUGCCUGAGAGCAUUGUCCAAAGACUUCUUGAACUCUGUCAGGCUUGGUGCUGUGACCACCUCCCUGGGGAGCCUGUUCCAGUGCCCAACCACCCUCUGGGGGAAGAAUCCUUCUCUAAUAUGUAACCUAAACCUCUCCUGACACAACUUCAAGCCUUGGGUCUUUAAAGAUUCCUUUUUAAAACUAAUGUUAUUGUAAAUAUCUCUGCCUAAAUAUUUUUGCAGUUAAUGCAAAAGUGAGAAUUUCUGCUGAUUUAUCUUGUCUGUUUAAAAUGCUUUCCUACUUCUAUAAAAAAUACAAUACGAAAUCAGUAAUAUGCAUUUCUAGAGUUAGGAAAACUUUCUAAUUGUGAAAUCUACAUGAACUUAGCGAGAUUUAAAGAUAAAACAAAAUAAGUAGGACUAAUCUGAAAAAAUAUCAGAACUUUUAAUAAGGACAAAAUAAGUUUAUGCAGAGUAAGAGGUAAAAUGUCCAAUACCUCUACCCUUUCUCUCACUUCUUUUUUCUUUUUUGCCCUCCUGUUCCACUUUGGCACCAUCAUUUGCCAGAAGAAGCAAAGGAAAAAACCCCACUUUUCUUCUGUAUUUCAAGUUCUUGUUAUCACAGAGGUCUGGAAUGUUAAUUACAGAACUCAAUUAUCUCAAGUUAAAAUUCUAUUACCCACAUAGGAAAGAAAUGGAGUUGCCAAGGUGAAAUGAGCUAGGCAAAGUGAAGAGCAGAUGGGCUAUGGUGACAGGAUGGAUAUCGAGAGUAAUGGGUGGGAGCUUUAAUAUUUAAUUCUGUAUCUUGUAUGAAUGUAUUUUUAUACUCAUUUGACCAUUUUCUGAAUGUUUAAAAGAGUAGGAUGCUGGGUCCAUAUUUUUAAGACAAAAAAAAUUUCACGGUUAAAAAAGUCUGCAACAAAUUACAGGUAUCUGGGAAAUUAGAAUAAUUACCACACUCCAAGUAGUCUGAUUGUUGUUUUUUGCUUGUCUAAUGUGUCUCACAUCUUUUAGUUAUACUUCGAUACAUAUCUCACUCACUGGUUGUGCCAAACUUGUUUGCUAGUGAUAUUGCUUCACUUAUUUCUUUAAUCUUUUUCUAACUAAAAGAAGGAAAAUAGUUCAGCAGAUUUUGUCUCUGAAGAGUACACUGAAAAACCUACACAGUUUCUAACAUAAAAUCUUUGUAAAUAAUAUUUUUAUUAAGACAAUCCUUGACUGACUACUAAUAAAUUUCAAAUUUAUCAGUAACUUUCAUCUGUGUUAAGCUAUUAUUAGACUUAAGAUCUUUUCCCCCUUUUUUGAAAGAAAAGAAAACAGUAGGGAAGAAGAAAUAUUAUUAUCCUAGGCCUACAGCUUUCAGUUUAGGCUGUAAAUGUGGCUUGGGGCAAAGAGAAUAGAUGCCAUUAUGGGAUUGAAGGUCAUAGUUUCUGGAAGUAGUUUCUUAAAAGAUAAGGAAAGAGACACAUGCCAAUAUUUUGUUCUAUCAGUCUUGGAACUGCUGAUGGGACAGAAUAUACUAUUUUCAAAAAACACCUAAUUGAUGUAGGAGCAGUUUUUCUGAAGUUAAUGGAACUUUAUUUCAGGGAACAUUGAUGGAAAUGUGAUUGUCUGAUCUAUUCAACAUUUUAUAAGCCCUAUUUUUAAAUUCUUUGUAAAUUAAUCUGUGAAGUUCUGAAGCCACAAACUUCAGAAUGCAUUAACCCAAGAAUAUUCCCUUCCUUAACUCCAUAGGACAAGUUUCAUUAGUAAUUAUAAUUAAAAUUCUCUAAAAUGAUUGAAACAGAGUUAUUGUUUUGACAUAUUUAACAAGAGUAGUUUUCAAAAAAACUUAGUAACUAUGUGUUUCAGUAAAGGUGGAGCCUCUU